GCCAGGCAUUGUGGUGAGUGCCUGUAGUCCCAGCUACUUGGGAGGCUGAGGCAAGAGAAUCUCCUAAGCCCAGGAGUUGGAGGUUGCUGUGAGCUGUGUGACACCAUGGCACUCUACCAGAAGCGAUAAAGUGAGACUUUCACUCUACAAAAAAGAAAGAAAGAAAGAAAGAAUUUCACUCUGUCAUCCUGGGUAGAGGGGUAGAGAGCAGUGGCAUCACAGCUCACAGCUACCUCAAACUCUUGGGCUCAAGCAAUCCUCUUGUC
rnacentral:sRNA from 1 species